rnacentral:rRNA from 1 species
GGUUUGAUCAUGGCUCAGAUUGAACGCUGGCGGGAUGCUUUACACAUGCAGUCGAACGGCAGCACGGACUUCGGUCUGGUGGCGAGUAACGACGGGUGGCGACAAUGUAUCGGAACGUGCCUAGUAGCGGGGGAUAACUACGCGAAAGCGUAGCUAAUACCGCAUACAUACCAGAGAGAAAAAGGGGGACCUUCGGGCCUCGCACUAUUAAGCAGCGAUAUCGGAUUAGCUAGUUGGUGGGUAACGGCUCACCAAGGCGAUGAUCAGCAGCUGGUUUGAGAGGACGACCAGCCACACUGGGACUGAGACACGGCCCAGACUCCUACGGGAGGCAGCAGUGGGGAAUUUUGGACAAUGGGGGAAACCUGAUCCAGCCAUCCGCGCGUGUGCGAUGAAACCUUCGGUUCUAAGCAUACUGGCAGGAAAGAAACGGCACAGGAUAGCCUUCCGUGCAACUGACGGUAUACCUGCAGAAUAAGCACCAGCUAACUACGUGCCAGCAGCCGCGGUGGCGUAAGUGCAAGCGUUAAUCGGAAUUACUGGGCGUAAAGCGUGCGCAGGCGGUUCGGAAAGAAAGAUGUGAAAUCCCAGAGCUUAACUUUGGAACUGCAUUUUUUUAACUACCGAGCUAGAGUGUGUCAGAGGGAGGUGGAAUUCGCGAUGUAGCAGUGAAAUGCGUAGAUAUGCGGAGGAACACCGAUGGCGAAAGGCGCGGCCUCCUGGGAUAACACUGACGCUCAUGCACGAAAAAGCGAUGAGAACGAGCAGGAUUAGAUACCCUGGUAGUCCACGCCUAAACGAUGUCCAACUAGCUGUUGGGGCCGCCCGGGCCUUGGUAGCGCAGCUAACGCGUGAAGUUGACCGCCUGGGAAGUACAUUCGCCAAGAUUAAAACUCAAAGGAGGAAUUGACGGGGACCACAAGCGGUGGAUGAUGUGGAUUAAUUCGAUGCAACGCGAAAAACCUAUGACAUGUCUGAAUCCCGAAGAGAUUUGGGAGUGCUCCGCAAGAGAACCGGAACACGGGUGCUGCAUGGCUGUCGUCAGCUCGUGUCGUGAGAUGUUGGGUUAAGUCCCGCAACGAGCGCAACCCUUGUCAUUGAGAUUUAUGCUACGAAAGGGCACUCUAAUGAGACUGCCGGUGACAAACCGGAGGAAGGUGGGGAUGACGUCAAGUCCUCAUGGCCCUUAUGGGUAGGCUACACGUCAUACAAUGGUCGGGACAGAGGGUCGCCAACCCGCGAGGGGGAGCCAAUCCCAGAAGCGAUCGUAGUCCGGAUCGCAGUCUGCAACUCGACUGCGUGAAGUCGAAUCGCUAGUAAUCGCCGGAUCAGCAUGUCGCGGUGAAUACGUUCCCGGGUCUUGUACACACCGCCCGUCACCAUGGGAGUGGGUUUUACCAGAAGUAGUUAGCCUAACCGUAAGGAGGGCGAUUACCACGGUAGGAUUCAUGACUGGGGUAAAGUCGUAACAAGGUAA